AUUAAUCUUUUGGGCUACCAGGUGAUAAUUUGGUCAUUUCUGUUUUGGCCAAAAAGAAAAAAAGAAAAAAAUCAGAAAUGAUGCAAGACUGAACUAGUAAAAGUCCCUUGGCCUACCCACCACUUCUGUUUUUUUUCACAUUGUAGCAGCUCAGAGGCAGUCUUUCAAUAUUCCUACUUUUUGUUUGCAACUUACUGUCUCCAAGGCAAGAAAAGUGGUGGACAAAAUGAGGAGGAGCCAUUUGUGUUCAAAGACCCUCUGGUCUAGUAGGUAAGAGAGGAUCUUCUACUGAUACAGGCUGGGGAUUGAGAAGGACUCGCAAGCCCUUCAAAGGACAAUGAAACACAAGAACGUACUAGUAGUGAUUAUAGAUUUAUUUUCAUCUGAGUACUUUUCUGUAUCUUUCAAAUUUUCU
rnacentral:lncRNA from 1 species